rnacentral:rRNA from 1 species
AGUGAACGCUGGCGGUAGGCCUAACACAUGCAAGUCGAACGGCAGCACAGUAAGAGCUUGCUCUUACGGGUGGCGAGUGGCGGACGGGUGAGGAAUAAAUCGGAAUCUACUUUUUCGUGGGGGAUAACGUAGGGAAACUUACGCUAAUACCGCAUACGACCUACGGGUGAAAGCAGGGGAUCUUCGGACCUUGCGCGAUUGAAUGAGCCGAUGUCGGAUUAGCUAGUUGGCGGGGUAAAGGCCCACCAAGGCGACGAUCCGUAGCUGGUCUGAGAGGAUGAUCAGCCACACUGGAACUGAGACACGGUCCAGACUCCUACGGGAGGCAGCAGCGGGGAAUAUUGGACAAUGGGCGCAAGCCUGAUCCAGCCAUACCGCGUGGGUGAAGAAGGCCUUCGGGUUGUAAAGCCCUUUUGUUGGGAAAGAAAAGCAGCAGGUUAAUACCCCGCUGUUCUGACGGUACCCAAAGAAUAAGCACCGGCUAACUUCGUG